rnacentral:rRNA from 1 species
GCUCAAAACUUAGCCCUAUAACUUAAAUACACCCUAAAACCUCUCCCCCUAAACUAAAACAUUUUAACAAUUUAGUAAAGGCGAUUAAAAAAUUUUCAGGCGCUAUAAAAGCAGUACCGCAAGGAAAUAGUGAAAUAAAAAUGAAAUAAAUUUUAAGCACAAAAAAGUAAAGAUUAACUCUUGUACCUUUUGCAUCAUGGUCUAACAAGUCUAAUCAAGCAAAAUGCCUUUAAGUUUGACCCCCCGAAACUAAGCGAGCUACUUUAGGACAGCUUAAUGAGCAAACCCGUCUCUGUUGCAAAAGAGUGGGAAGAUCUUACAGUAGCGGUGACAGACCUAACGAGCUUAGUGAUAGCUGGUUGCUCAAGAAAAGGAUUUUAGUCCCACCUAAAGGCCCCCCCCCAAUAAUUAUUUAUACUAGAUGGGCUUUAGAGCAAUUCAAAUAAGGUACAGCCUAUUUGAAUUAGGAUACAACCUAAACCUCAGGGUAAUAUCGUGACACAACAAAAAAGUGGGCCUAAAAGCAGCCACCUUUAAGACAGCGUCAAAGCUUGCUUGUUUUACUCUUCAAUUCCGAAACUCCCCUAGAACCCUUAAAUACUACUGAGCAAUUCUAUAUUUUUAUAGAAGUUAUUAUGUUAAAACUAGUAAUAAGAAGAACCUCCUUCUCUUUAAUGUAAGUGUAAAUCAGAAAGGACCUUCCACUGAUUCUUAACAUGUAUAAACUAAUAAUAGUAACAUAACAAGAAAACCCUAUUAUACCUCAUGUUAAUCUAACACAAGAACAUUACAAGAAAGAUUAAAAGAAAGGGAAGGAACUCGGCAAACCUUAGCCCCGCCUGUUUACCAAAAACAUCGCCUCUUGAUAUCUCAUAAGAGGUCCAGCCUGCCCAGUGACACUGUUCAACGGCCGCGGUAUCCUAACCGUGCGAAGGUAGCGUAAUCACUUGUUCAUUAAAUGUGGACUAGUAUGAAUGGCACCACGAAGGCUAUACUGUCUCCCCUCUCUAAUCAAUGAAACUAAUCUUCCCGUGAAGAAGCGGAAAUAAACCUAUAAGACGAGAAGACCCUAUGGAGCUUUAAACUUAGUAACAAUUACUAUCUAAAUUUUCUUAAUUAACACUUAACCCGGUUCUAUGUCUACUAGUUUUAGGUUGGGGUGACCGCGGAGUAAAAUAAAACCUCCUCAUUGAACGGACUUAAACUCCUGAGCAAUAAUCCACGAAUUUAUGCACUAAUAAACUAACAUCUAUUGACCCAAUUAAUUGAUCAACGAACCAAGUUACCCUAGGGAUAACAGCGCAAUCCACCUCAAGAGCUCCUAUCGACAGGCGGGUUUACGACCUCGAUGUUGGAUCAGGGUACCCAAGUGGUGCAGCCGCUACUAAAGGUUCGUUUGUUCAACGAUUAAAACCCU